CCUUGUGGUUGGGACAUUGCAUAAGUUUUCCAUUGAAUCUUUCCCAUACCUCAUACAAGGGUUCUCCAUUCAAUUAUCAGAAGUUAGUGAUUUCAUCACGCAAUUG